rnacentral:rRNA from 1 species
UACGUAGGGCGCAAGCGUUAUCCGGAAUUAUUGGGCGUAAAGAGCUCGUAGGCGGUUUGUCGCGUCUGCCGUGAAAGUCCGGGGCUCAACUCCGGAUCUGCGGUGGGUACGGGCAGACUAGAGUGAUGUAGGGGAGACUGGAAUUCCUGGUGUAGCGGUGAAAUGCGUAGAUAUCUGGAGGAAUACCGGUGGCGAAGGCGGUUCUCUGGGCCUUACCUGACGCUGAGGAGCGAAA